CCGGUCCCAUACGCCACUUCCUGUCUGUCACUGCUCUGCACUCAGCCCUGUCACAGCACCACGCUGUAUCUGGCGUUUGUUUGACUUUCCAAAACUGCUCCGAACUCCGAUUAAAAGUAGCAAUUGGGCUAAAACAGCUCCACGGCACUCCUCAUCCUCUUAUCUACCUCUCUGGCGAUCGAUACAUCUCCCCGUAUCCCGGCGGAUCCUCGUAUUAAACCCCCUCGUGUUCGCACUACUCACCGGUCAGUUUUUUUUUAGGUUUUUUUUUUUUUUUUUCCCCCCUUCCUUCUGAUUAAUUCUCUUCGAUGGCGAGCUAUCCCGUCCCCUACCUCCUGCUGCGGUAGGACACCUUUUGUUGUUUCAUCGAACCUGGAUCAAGGAUUGUUUUGUUCAUGGACACUGAACUGAAAAAAAGACUUUGAAUUCCGAACCUCUCAAAAGGAGGCUUUGAACUGAACUUUGAACUGCAAUUCCCGACCUGGUGAUCUUUUGUUUGGUGUUGAACUUUCGAACUGUAUUGGUUUUUGUUUAUUAAUUAAUAUACAUAAUAUAAUAUUAAUACCAUAACUAAUAUUAUAUUAUACUAUAUUAAUUGAUUAUACCUGUUUAUUAUCUAUAUAUUUAUAUUAUACAUACCUCAUACUAUUUCACCCUUACUAUUGUUAUUAUUACUCUGGUUAUUAUAUAAUACCUUUUAUUUAUAUGCAAAUCCAAUUACAAAUUCUGAAAAAAUACAUCUACGAUACUUAAA